CCGUUGGGGUGUAGCGGGUUCAGCACACGCUCCCGGAAAGAGUGAGAUCUGGGUUCGAAUCCCGGCCGACGCA